rnacentral:rRNA from 1 species
CGGACGGGUGAGUAACGCGUGGGUAACCUGCCUUAUACAGGGGGAUAACAGUUAGAAAUGACUGCUAAUACCGCAUAAGCGCACAGGAUUGCAUGAUCUGGUGUGAAAAACUCCGGUGGUAUAAGAUGGACCCGCGUCUGAUUAGCUGGUUGGUGAGGUAACGGCCCACCAAGGCGACGAUCAGUAGCCGACCUGAGAGGGUGACCGGCCACAUUGGGACUGAGACACGGCCCAAACUCCUACGGGAGGCAGCAUG